ACGGCUCAGUAACACGUGGACAACCUGCCCUUUAGGUUGGGUAUAAACCCGGGAAACUGGGUAUAAUACCCGAUAGGUCUCGAUUGCUGGAAUGCAUCGAGAUUUAAAGCUCCGGCGCCUAAGGAUGGGUCUGCGGCCUAUCAGGUAGUAGUGGGUGUAGCGUACCUACUAGCCUACGACGGGUACGGGUUGUGAGAGCAAGAGCCCGGAGAUGGAUUCUGAGACACGAAUCCAGGCCCUACGGGGUGCAGCAGGCGCGAAAACUUUACAAUGCUGGCAACAGCGAUAAGGGAACCUCGAGUGCCAGGUUACAAAUCUGGCUGUCGAGAUGCCUAAAAAGCAUUUCAUAGCAAGGGCCGGGCAAGACCGGUGCCAGCCGCCGCGGUAACACCGGCGGCUCGAGUGGUAACCGUUAUUAUUGGGUCUAAAGGGUCUGUAGCCGGCCGGAUAAGUCUCUUGAGAAAUCUGGCAGCUUAACUGUCAGGCUUUCAGGAGAUACUGUCUGGCUCGAGGCCGGGAGAGGUGAGAGGUACUUCAGGGGUAGGGGUGAAAUCUUGUAAUCCUUGAAGGACCACCAGUGGCGAAGGCGUCUCACCAGAACGGACCUGACGGCAAGGGACGAAAGCUAGGGGCACGAACCGGAUUAGAUACCCGGGUAGUCCUAGCCGUAAACGAUACUCGCUAGGUGUCGGCCACGGUGCGACCGUUGUCGGUGCCGUAGGGAAGCCGUGAAGCGAGCCACCUGGGAAGUACGGCCGCAAGGCUGAAACUUAAAGGAAUUGGCGGGGGAGCACCACAACGGGUGGAGCUUGCGGUUUAAUUGGAUUCAACGCCGGG
rnacentral:rRNA from 1 species